GGGUCAAGCAGAAGUCACUGCUGCUCAUUCUGGGAAAUCUUCUGGAGAAAUCCGUCAAAAACUGAAGAAACGGGAAGAUCUCUGUCUCCUCGGAGACUCUCAGCUUCUCUCCACGUUCAGUCUCAAACCCGUUCAUGUUUCCGAGACCAUAAAUUGAUUCUGAACCGGAUCACCACGUCGGUUCCUCCUCGGAUGGUUCUGUGGAUGAAGACCUGAAUCUCUGGUCCAGCAUGCUCCAGUUCUGGAGGGUUUCAGGUCAGAACCAGUGAAGCUGCAGCAACUGUUGAUGCUGGAGGAGGAUGGACUCGUCUCCUCCUGCAGGUCCGAUUGCUGCCUCGUCCCUGUGGUGCAGUGGACUCACAGUCGUAUUCCAGGAGGAUCAGACGUGUUUGUUCUCGUCUUGAUCUGUUCACAAGCAGGAUGGAAAAUGACUUUGACUUUCAGAAACUUCUCCUUUAAGGCUACACCUGUAGCCACGCCCCUUCGCUCGGCUCAAGUUUCCUCCAUGAGGAUGAUCCUCCUGUCAACCUGAGAAAAUAGCAGCUGCAGCUCCGCCGUCUCCGCUGGGGACCUCCAGCCGCCCUCUGGGUCCACAGACGCAGCAGAUCCCGACCGGAGCGCCUCUGCAGCUGUUUGAAGAACCAGCAGCUCCUUUUUGAUCAGCGCACCUUUUUGAUGAUGGCCGACCUUUCCCCGAGCAUCGCCGCCGUGUUUCCUCCUCGCUCUGAAACAAAGCUUCUGAUUUGACCUUUGCUCCAGGAUUCAUCCUUCAGCAGGUAAAACCCUGAGAGCUAAUCCUGCAUCCAGAGCUAAUCCUGCGUGAUGGGAGUGUAAACCUUCACACAUUUAAAUGGAGGAAUCUGCUGCCUGAGCUGCAGCUCUGCUCUCCUGUGGAGACGCUUGAACUCCACAGAAAAGGUCUCGUUUCCUCAGCCUGGAAACUCUGAGUAGAUUAAGACGGAACCAGCAGGAGCUUUAGAGUCUGAUCCGGAACCCAGAGGUUUCUCUGUCCUGAGCCAAAGCGUGGAUCAGGGAAUCCCUCAGAGAAGCAGCUCUUCGUGACUGAAGCGCUGCGACAUGAAGACAUCUUGUUUUUGGAGGGAAGAACGACACGGCGGCGUGGUUCUAACGCGGCGCCGCGAGGGGAAGCAGUGAUGACGCUCCUCUGGGGCUGAUGGGUCAAAGCUGGGAGUGAACGCCAGCAGCAUGCAGACGCUAGUGUUCAUCUGCAUGCCGACUGGACGCUGAUAAAUCAUGCGCUGACACUCGUUCUCAACGCCGCCAGAAUCUGUAAUUAUGCAGAAGAUCAGCAGCGGAACGGCGAGCGGACGCCACCAGCCGCCGCUUCCAUGGAGGGAAAGCAAACGGAUCGAUAAAGACGAGGAGAAAACAAAUGUGGACUUCUGUUCCACUGGAGAUCGUCUGGAGUCACGACUCCGACCGAGUUCUUGAGCUUUCACUCACUGAAGAAACGGAGUCUGAAGAGAGUAAAAAAGAUUAUUAUUCAUUUAUUUUCUCUCCUUCAAAAAAAAGUUUUUCAAUUGCAAAAUAUGAUAAAUCGUGUUUUAGUGACUCA